CUGAAACUUUUAAAAUUUUAAAUAAUAUGGCCCCUGCAGUUCUGUCAGAUUUAGUAGUGAAAAAAGAUUCAAAGUAUAACUUCAGGUAUUCCAAUAUUCUACAGGUCCCACAAGUUAAGACAACAACAUAUGUACGACGGCUUUAGCAGAGGAAGAACAUACUUUUGCAUAUGUGUUCUGAAUGAACGGGAGCAUAUCAUCAUAGCAGGAACGCAUAUCAUCAUCAUGAACUUCCAUGAAUUAACACACAGCGGGGCACUACUGUUCAAGUGUUGUUGUAAAUACUAUUCAACGACUCCUACAUAAGUAUAGGUGCACCUUCUUUCGGAAAAGAGUUAAGUAUAAGAGACUUGUAGCAUGAGGCAAGAAAACAAACGUGGAAGGAUAAUAAUCAUAUGAUAUGUGUGGCCACAAGAAUCCAUGGAUGAUUGAUUUAACGGAAAACAGCGUGUCACUCUAAGAAGAGGAAAUUCUAUGCAAAUAGUUUGGCGGAAAGUAAGGUGUUCAGUUGAGAAAAAGAGGCGUUGAUAACAUAAAAACAGCUUGCCAUAUAUAAUGUUUAACUAUUAUUAUAUACUGUAUGUGUGCUUUGAAUAGGUUUUAUUUUAUACAGUACAGUAAAAGUGUCAUGGACAUAUUAUUAAUAUUCAGUAACUGGAGCAACAGUAUAUCCAUUUUGGAAUGCACAGUUGUUGUAUACUUUAUACAAUAUGAAAAUACGGAGCGUCCUAGAAUUGAUCUGUUCUGUGCAUUUUGAGAAUUCCUGUAAUGUCCGUAAAUUUUGUAAUUUUACUGAACAAAUCUCGAAUUGCGCAAAUGAUGUGUAAUUUGCACCUAAAUAGAUUAUGACAAAAGUCGUGAACACAGAACAGAAUACAUUAAGUAUAACAUUGAAGUUAUCACAUGACCACAUAAUUAUAUAUUUGAAGUAAUAGGGCUUUUGUAGAAAUGAUCUAUGAAUUUUUAAAAUUCUAUAUGCCAACUAUUAUUUGGACUCUUAAAAUACGCAUGGCAGUUUCAUCUAGUGUUCCUGCCUUGACGUUUGAAACACCCAAAUGGAUGACUUGUAUGUGUGUUGAUUUAAUUGGAACAAAUCAUGAAGAAUGCAUGCCUUUAUAAGUUUAGUUUGUAAUUGAUAAAUUUAAUAAAAAAGAAAAAAAGAAUAAAAAGAACAGUUAUGGAGUUUCUAUGCAAAUACAAAUUUUACAGGUGUCCAGAAAGUUCGUUCCUAUUUUUCGAGAACCAGAAAAUUAUGGUGGUCUUUCAAAAUGUCUUCUCUUUAAAAAUAGAAAACGUAAAAUAUAAACACUUGAAGAUUUUGGGUAAUAAAACUUCUGUCAAGCCAGUUAAAAGGACUUCUUGAAAUAAUUAUUAUAUCAGUACUCUAAAGACGUUUCAACGGCCUAUAU